rnacentral:tRNA from 5 species
CAAUUUAAAGCUUAAAAGUUAAGUAUUUCAUUUACAUUGAAAUGAGUUUUGUGCAAAUCAAUUUAAAUUGA